UAGAAGCCAACGGUUAUGUUUGGACCCCAGG
rnacentral:piRNA from 1 species